rnacentral:rRNA from 1 species
UACGGAGGGUGCAAGCAUUAAUCGGAAUUAUUGGGCGUAAAGGGCGCGUAGGCGGAUUAGUAAGUCAGAUGUGAAAUUCCGGAGCUCAAUUUCGGAGCUGCAUUUGAAACUACAAAUCUUGAGGAUUGGCGGAGAGAACGGAAUUCCACGUGUAGCGGUGAAAUGCGUAGAUAUGUGGAAGAACACCGGUGGCGAAAGCGGUUCUCUAGCUUAUACCUGACGCUGAGGCGCGAGAGCAAGGGGAUCAAACAGG